rnacentral:rRNA from 1 species
UACGGAGGGAGCUAGCGUUAUUCGGAAUUACUGGGCUUAAAGCGCACGUAGGCGGCUUUGUAAGUUAGAGGUGAAAGCCUGCUGCUCAACGCCAGAAUUGCCUUUAAGACUGUAUCGCUCGAAUCCGGGAGAGGUGAGUGGAAUUCCGCGUGUAGAGGUGAAAUUCGUAGAUAUUAGGCAGAACACCAGUGGCGAAGGCGGCUCACUGGACCGGCAUUGACGCUGAGGUGCGAAAGCGUGGGGAUCAAACAGG